GCUGCUACACUGGUAAGGUUUCUUAAUUCAACAUCGAGGUCGCAAACCUUUUUUUCAAUUAGGGCUCUAAAAAAGAUAACGCUGUUAUCCCCGAAGUAAUUUAUUCUUGAGAUUUUACUAAGGUCUUCUUACACACCUAGUAGUGUUUUAUUUAAAACAGGUAGUAUUUUUAUUUCUGUCACCCCAACCAAACUCUACUAAUAUCCCACCUAGUCAAUAAAAAUGAGUAAAAUUUUACGGGGUCUUGUCGUCUUUUAAAAAAAUUCUAGAAUUUUUACUAAAAAUUAAUUUUUUAUUUUUACCAGAGAUAGUUUUACUACGUCGAACCUUUCAUUCAAGCUCUUAAUUAAAAAGCAAUGUAUUAUGCUACCUUAGUMCAGUUAAAAUACUGCAGCUCUUUAAACCAGUGUGCAGGUAGGACCUCUUAUAAACCAAAAGGACAUGUUU
rnacentral:rRNA from 1 species